UCAGUGGUUGAACAUGAAGAAAGCUGGGAGGUGGUAUUUCUUCAACUGCUUUUUUAAUUCUGAUCAUUUUUUUCACUGACCUGGUGAGGUGAGGGGCUGAGCCCUGAGGGACGCUCUCACUUUUGGUGCCCAGCGCCUGGUGCACACCGGGCAUGACCCGCUCUGGGAACAGCGGCAUGUGAGGAGUUUGACUGGGGUGGUACAGGUACAUCUCUCAAUGUGUAACACAGAUGUCCUCAGGAGAGCUCAGGGAGGAUGGAAACCUCCGACAGAGCAGGGGGGCAAAAGCUCGCUUAAUUCUUGAUUUUCAGUACAAAUAGAGGCCAUGAAAGCAGGACCUCGCGAUCGUCCUGGCUUCUGGGGUUUUAAACAAGAGGUGUCAGUAAAGUUCUCACAGGGAUAACUGUCUUGUAGUGGCCAAGCGUUCAUAGUGACAUCGCCGUUUGAUCCUUCGAUGUUGGCUCUUCCUAUCAUUGUGAAGCAGAAUUCAAGCAUUGGAUAGUUCACCCGCUAUUAGGAAACGUGAGCUGGGAUUAGGCCGUUGUGAAACAGGUUAGUUUUAUGCUACUAAUGAUGUGUUGUUGCAAUAGCAAUCCUGCUCAGUACGAGAGGAACUGCAGGUUCAAACCCUUGGUGUGAGGCUACCAUCUGCAGGGCUUAUGACUCAAUGCCUCUCAGUCAGAAUGCCUCCUAGACAUAGCAAUACCUCAGCACUGCUGGUGCCUGGAUGGGCUCACAAUAGCUGGCCACCCACCUCAUGAGGAGCCAGCCUGGUGCGGAGUGCUGCUCAGGACCAGAGGGGUGGGCAGAUACGGCACCACCUCUCCCCCACCACAUAUAAUUGUGGGGUACUUGGCACUAAAUCAUUCAUAAAUGACCUGAUUCUGGGUCAGGGUUUUGUACAUAGCAGAGCAACUCCCUUGCUGAGAGCUAUUGAGAAUUAUCCCUUGACACAAGCUUU
rnacentral:ncRNA from 1 species